GCCGGGGUGUCGGAACUGGCAGACGAGGCGGACUUAAAAUCCGCUGGGCGCAAGCCCGUGUGGGUUCGAGACCCACCCCCGGCACCA
rnacentral:tRNA from 1 species